UCUGGGAAAGAUGGAGUGGGGGGUGGUGUGGAGAUGAAGAACAAUGCAGCUGAGUGACUGAGGCUGCAGAAAUGGAACCCGAGAACCACAGUUAGAGACGGUCCCCGCCCACCCCGCCCUGCAGCAGGCACUGGGGGACUUUGUCAGGGAAGAUGUUUUAAAUUGGGGCUUUUAGGGACAGCCACGUUCCAGUCUCACCAUGACAUUUUGUUUGCUUGGAGAUACUGCGGUGGUGGUUUGAAAUGGAAUUUAUUGAGUUUGGAUUCCAGCGCUCCUGGGCCCCCACUAACAUCUAAUUAACCAGACCACACUUUGACUUCAAAAGUGCAGGAGAAAACGAGGAGAUGUAUUAUGAUGUUCUCUCGGCAGGAACCUCGAGGAGGGCUGGGGAGCUGAGCCAGGGGCUUUUGAAGUGUCUGAGUUGGUGGUCUGCGGUUGUGCCAGAAUGCAAGAUAAGCCGGUCAGCCCUCCUUUGCGGCUGUCUUUUCCCCCAAUAAAGAGCCACGGCCUUCCCUUUU